GAUGAACGCUGGCGGCGUGCCUAAUACAUGCAAGUCGAGCGAACAGACGAGGAGCUUGCUCCUUUGACGUUAGCGGCGGACGGGUGGGUAACACGUAGGUAACCUACCUAUAAGACUGGGAUAACUUCGGGAAACCGGAGCUAAUACCGGAUAAUAUUUCGAACCGCAUGGUUCGAUAGUGAAAGAUGGCUUUGCUAUCACUUAUAGAUGGACCUGCGCCGUAUUAGCUAGUUGGUAAGGUAACGGCUUACCAAGGCAACGAUACGUAGCCGACCUGAGAGGGUGAUCGGCCACACUGGAACUGAGACACGGUCCAGACUCCUACGGGAGGCAGCAGUAGGGAAUCUUCCGCAAUGGGCGAAAGCCUGACGGAGCAACGCCGCGUGAGUGAUGAAGGUCUUCGGAUCGUAAAACUCUGUUAUUAGGGAAGAACAAACGUGUAAGUAACUGUGCACGUCUUGACGGUACCUAAUCAGAAAGCCACGGCUAACUACGUG
rnacentral:rRNA from 1 species